rnacentral:rRNA from 1 species
AAACCAACAGGGAUUGCCCCAGUAACGGCGAGUGAAGCGGCAAAAGCUCAAAUUUGAAAUCCUGCGGGAAUUGUAAUUUGAAGGUUUCGUGGUCUGAGUCGGCCGCGCCCAAGUCCAUUGGAACAUGGCGCCUGGGAGGGUGAGAGCCCCGUAUGGCGCACGCCGACUCUUUGUACACCGCGGCUCCGACGAGUCGAGUUGUUUGGGAAUGCAGCUCUAAGUGGGUGGUAAAUUCCAUCUAAAGCUAAAUAUUGGCGAGAGACCGAUAGCGAACAAGUACAGUGAUGGAAAGAUGAAAAGCACUUUGAAAAGAGAGUGAAACAGCACGUGAAAUUGUUGAAAGGGAAGGGCUUGCAAGCAGACACGGUUUUACCGGGCCAGCGUCGAAAAGGGGGGAGGAACAAGAACUCGAGAAAUGUGGCGCGCACCUUCGGGCGCGCGUGUUAUAGCUCGUGUUGACGCCUCCAUCCCUUUUCGAGGCCUGCGAUUCUAGGACGCUGGCGUAAUGGUUGCAAGCCGC